rnacentral:rRNA from 1 species
UACGAAGGGGGCUAGCGUUGCUCGGAAUCACUGGGCGUAAAGGGUGCGUAGGCGGGUCUUUAAGUCAGGGGUGAAAUCCUGGAGCUCAACUCCAGAACUGCCUUUGAUACUGGAGACCUUGAGUCCGGGAGAGGUGAGUGGAAUUGCGAGUGUAGAGGUGAAAUUCGUAGAUAUUCGCAAGAACACCAGUGGCGAAGGCGGCUCACUGGCCCGGAACUGACGCUGAGACGCGAAAAGCGUGGGGAGCAAACAGG